ACAAAAGUGUGUAUAUAUUAUGAAAAACAAAACCCUUUUCGUAGAAAUCAACCAAUUGGGUACCUGACAGUCACCCCUUCCCGCCAAAGCUCUAGCUCCUCCCUGAUCUAUCUGAGAGUUUGCUUCCAGAUAGUUGGUUAUCUGUCCACCCCACAAUCCUCUCCACCACUGUCUCAGACCUCAGCGUAUCUGGCUGGAAUCCUGCAUCCCAUAUCCCUGGCCUGAGCGAGAAGGGGUAAAUUCAGGCAGGUUUGGCCAAGGAAUCAACUGGAACAUCAGAGACUCUGCUACACCAAGAGUUGCUCCUCCCUAGGCUGUAAAUGUGGACAAGGUCUCAAUGGGAGACUGCAGAGUGGAAAGAGACCUCCAGAACAACCCACCCUAACAGGAUGCAAAAUGCAGUGUAUACUAUGAUUACAACUCUGCUUAAAUAUAUCUGCCGAUGGACUAACACUGGAAAUGAAUAAACAAAAAUGAAAACAACUGUGUGAUAUGGUGGUCGGAACA